UUCUGACUCAAUCGGUCUGGGUGGGGCCUGAGAGUCUGCAUUUCUAUCAAGCUCCCAAGUGAUACCGUCACUGCUAGUCCCUG
rnacentral:miRNA from 1 species